UAGGGAAUCUUCCACAAUGGGCGCGAGCCUGAUGGAGCAACACCGCGUGAGUGAAGAAGGGUUUCGGCUCGUAAAGCUCUGUUGUUAAAGAAGAACACGUAUGAGAGUAACUGUUCAUACGUUGACGGUAUUUAACCAGAAAGUCACGGCUAACUACGUGCCAG
rnacentral:rRNA from 1 species